AUUGAACGCUGGCGGCAGGCUUAACACAUGCAAGUCGAGCGGAUGAAGGGAGCUUGCUCCUGGAUUCAGCGGCGGACGGGUGAGUAAUGCCUAGGAAUCUGCUUGGCAGUGGGGGAUAACGUCUGGAAACGGGCGCUAAUACUGCAUACGUCGUGAGGGAGCAAGUGGGGGAUCUUCGGAACUCACGCUAUCAGAUGAGCCUAGGUCGGAUUAGCUAGUUGGUGGGGUAAAGGCCUACCUAGGCGACGAUCCGUAACUGGUCUGAGAGGAUGAGCAGUCACACUGAGACUGGGACACGGUCCAGACUCCUACGGGAGGCAGCAGUGGGGAAUAUUGGACAAUGGGCGGAAGCCUUAUCCAGCCGUGCCGCGUGUUUAAAGAAGGUCUUCGGAUUGUAAAGCACUUUAAGUUGGGAGGAAGGGCAGUAAGUUAAUACCUUGCUGUUCUGACGUUACCAACAGAAUGAGCACCGGCUAACUUCGUG
rnacentral:rRNA from 1 species